rnacentral:rRNA from 1 species
UACGUAGGGUGCGAGCGUUGUCCGGAAUUAUUGGGCGUAAAGAGCUUGUAGGCGGUUUGUCGCGUCUGCUGUGAAAUCUCAAGGCUCAACCUUGAGCUUGCAGUGGGUACGGGCAGACUAGAGUGUGGUAGGGGAGACUGGAAUUCCUGGUGUAGCGGUGAAAUGCGCAGAUAUCAGGAGGAACACCGAUGGCGAAGGCAGGUCUCUGGGCCACUACUGACGCUGAGAAGCGAAAGCCAGGGGAGCGAUCCGG